GCCUCUGUAGCUCAGUGGUUAGAGAGCUAUUGGUCUUGUAAAACAGGGGUCGAGAGUUCGACUCUCUCCAGAGCCU
rfam:Nematostella vectensis strain CH2 x CH6 NEMVEscaffold_620_Cont30987, whole genome shotgun sequence.